rnacentral:rRNA from 1 species
UACGUAGGGUGCAGGCGUUAAUCGGAAUUACUGGGCGUAAAGCGUGCGCAGGCGGUUUGCUAAGACAGGUGUGAAAUCCCCGGGCUUAACCUGGGAACUGCGCUUGUAACUGGCAAGCUUGAGUGUGGCAGAGGGGGGUGGAAUUCCACGUGUAGCAGUGAAAUGCGUAGAGAUGUGGAGGAACACCAGUGGCGAAGGCGACUCUCUGGUCUGCAACUGACGCUGAGGAGCGAAAGCGUGGGGAGCGAACAGG